CCCUUUAAUAUAUCGACUUAAAAACAAAGUGACUUAUGCCACUUUCAAAAUAAACGGCUCAAUUGACGUGCCACUGUCUCGAGAUCUGUUUGCUUAGAAAUAUUGUUUUCGAAGGGAAACAAUCGUGUGGAAACGUUCGAACGUGUUCGAACGAGAAAUUGGUGAUCUUAUAUCGAAGAAACCGAUUUUAUAUCGAAGGUUUUAUAUUGCACGCUGCACGGUGAGUACUACGAAGCAGUUCGUCCGUCCCAUCGUUUCGUUCCACGCGAAUAAUGCGAGGAGACCGUUGUGCAAAUACGUUUCCCGUUAUCUUCGAUUAAUUAUUCAGUGAAAGAAAUUGUUUGACUCUUACUGCGUCGACGUAUCGCGAUGUUAUCAAUCCGUCCCAAUGACGGGUGACCAAUUUUUGCAUUUACAAUUAUUCAGAUCGCGAAGAUACAUUUACGUGUCAUUUAUUCUCAAUGUCUUUUGGAAGAAUAUUUUUCCUCUAAUUUUGAUAGCACUACCGCUGCUUGCAAUUUAAACAAAUUCAAAUGUCCCUCGUUUCCUCGCUGUUUCGUUCGAGCUUGCAACGAAAAUUUUUGUGUUUCAUAUCGUGUUGAGAAACUAUAUAAAAAUACAUUUCACGCGUGUCGAAGGUUUCAUUGAAAUCGGUUGACGCGUAUAGUCGAAGCUACAGCCAGUUCUUAGCCAUGUACAAAUUACAUGUACAUACAUACUUGGUUCCCGUCGAAACUCGCGGGGAAAUGCUAUUUUCGCGAAAUUGAAAUUUUAACUGCUCGUAACAACAUCGAACCGAUUUCGAUGAAAUUUUCAGCGCGUGCAUACGUUACCGGGAUGCGCCAAAUGCAUUCUUGAAAUUUUCAUUACCGGCACGGAUGUAAAAGUGCAGAACGGACUUGUUCCUUUACACGUCUCUUAUUCCGGGUAAUAGCAAAAUUAAAAAAAGAAAGAACCAGUAUUUUAGUCGUGGAACAGUCUCUCGAACAUUUCCAAAAAAAAGAAAAUUCAAGUCACUCAGACCAAAUUCAAAAAAGUUACACCGUUUCAAAAGUUGUACUUCCGUUGCUUACUUUUAUCACUCGCGGCAAACGUUGCAAUAACACUCGCUCAAAAUCCGAAUAAACGUCCCGUUGUUGCUCUCAUAAAUCAAUAUAAAACAGCUGUUUCGGCGCUAGAACUACCAAAGCAGUCAAAACGACUGUUCUCCGAUUUCAUCUUCCGCAAUUCCUGACGUUACAAAAACGUUUCUAAACGAAACCUAUACACAAACAUCUUCACUUAGGCUUGCAUUACCCUCGAAAUAGCGCGAAGUUCGAAUAAAUCCCGUCAUCGUUUCAAAACAAUGCACAAAUUAGCCACGUCUCGGGCUCUGUAGUUCGAGCGCCGAGCAGCAACAACAAAACAGUGCUCCGCAAAUCUAUUAUAAAUUCGGCAGAACGCGAGUAUCGAACGUGUCAGCAACAGCUACAAACACACUAAACGCACAACGAACGAACGAGCGAGCGAGCGAAAGAGAGAGAGAGAGAGGGCACAUGAAAUUCGACCAAAAUCGAUGCAGAAUCCCCGGAGACAUCGGGACGACCAUACUUAUCCUCGCAUUCCCGCGAGCUCCGCGCGAACCACCGCCUCGUCUCCGACCUAAUCGCGUCGCAGAAAUUCCUGUUGAUCAUCGAAACGCCUCCGAAACCGUUCAGCAAUCCCGCGGCGAGAACCCGCGGCGGUGUUCCGCCGCGGAAACGAAAAGACGGCUCGCGAAGUCGCGGCGGGAUCGCGUCGCGACCACGAAUGCCCUUAACCAGAAUGAGAAAGUGUGUCGGCACGGAGUGCCGGGACGUCGCGAGGCGGCAGCGAGUGCUUCGAACUGCUCGUUAUCUGUCUGUGGAAGUCGUCGUGCCGUCGGUAAACCGCGCGGCAGCGUCGGCGUUUUUUAAUGAUCCGCCGAACGGCGGAACGGUCUCGGCCGAAAGCGAGAAGUGUCUGGCGCGGUCGGCGUCGUUAUCGGAGCAAGAGCUGUAAUUUUCGCACUCACGUGAACCGGUGUGGCUCGUUCCGUCGCAGCUAAUUAGACGGGGACGGGAGCAUCGGGCCUGGCGAACGCACUGGCGGGCUUCGGGAAAGGGCAGACGGGCUCUGCGAGUGGUGCGGCACACAGUUCACACUGACACAGUCACAGGCUCGCGAGAUAGACGGAGAACGUGAGAGAGAAAUAUAGAGAGAAAAAUAGAGAGAUAGAAAGAGAGUAAGAGAGAGAGAGAGAAAGUAUGAGAGAGAGAUGAGGCGGGAGACAGCUCACACGCGAAUCGGAGCGGGUCGGAGGGAAGCGAAAGAAAGCAUCGAAGGGAAAACGAAGGUGGCUGGCGGCCGCGGGUAUCGAGCGGGACCCGUGCAACGGUGCAUGGUCUCACUUCCGGCUGGCGGGCAUCACUUCCGGGAUGAUUUUCGACUCCCCUGUUUCGCGGAUCGGCGCGCGGAGAAAGCCGAGCGGAGAGGAAUCGUGCGACGCGUGCAUCAGCCGGCACUGUACACGACUGACUAGCUAGACUCUGCUCGCGAGCAGACCCCGCUGCUCUGCGAGAGUUGAUAAAGAGAGAGAGAGAGAGAGAGAGAGCGGGAAAGAGAGAGGGAGAGAGGGGGGAAGGGAGAUCGACGAAUGAACGGGCAGCCGAUUUCACGGCAGAACGCCGUGACCGACGCGAAGCGCCAACGGCCGCCACAGGAUGAAUGAAACGAGCCCGUCGCGAGCACACGUCCUUCGGGGCGCGUGCGUUUUCGCGCGAUUCGUCGCGUCGGCCACCGGCGAGGACCAGCCAGCACCGCGGACACGAUCGACGAGACCAACGAGGACCACCAGCCCGCCGAGCCAGCCACGGCAACUACCCGCGCUGCGGCGCUGCGGGCUCGCACGGGUCGCGGCCACGAACCGCUCCGAUCGGCCACGGAAACGCACGAGGCCUAAUGCGAGUACCUCUGACGAACUAGCAGCGAACGCGGGUCCCUUCAACCCUUGGCCACGAGGGGUGCCCGCCUGCUGCCGCCGCAGCCAUCGACUGGCCUGCUCGAUGCACGAUUUUACAAUGUCACUUGUCAUCGUUGUUUCUUCUGUUGCUGCAUGACUGCAAUAAUUUUUUUCUGACUCUAAAGGGCAACGUUGAACGUCGUGGAAGAGGAUAACUCGUUGCUUCGUUUCAUUUGGCUCGCAUCGUUGAAACUCGGGGAAUGCCGAGCUACGACAGUGACGGCAAUGAUCGACCGGGCUGUCACCGGCACACGAUUUUAAGGAUUCUCAACGUGCCGUCGUUGUUUCGGGAGCUAAAUGGCUGCAAUAAUUUUUUCCUCGCUCCGAAGAGAAGUGGCAAACGCUGUGCGAAAGGGCAAUUCGUUAGCCGGUUCCAUUUGGUCGAGAUGAAUUCGUAAAGGUAACCCAAGCGAAAGAAAAUUUCGAAACUAUGGGAACUAUGUUCACGCAUGCUUAAGCGGUGUUCACGAAUUUUUUGGCAUCGACAUCGUUGGAACUCUGUAAAACGUUCGCCGACGAAAGGAACACGGUCGUGAAUUGGUUCGCGACGGCGACGACGACGUGGCAAGGAAAUUUAUAUUAAAGGAGAUAACAAUGGCGUCCGGAGACACAAUGCGACAAUCUCCAGCCCCAUUCAGUUAGAGUCCGCGCGCCUCGCGGGAGUACCAGCAGGAAAAAGCCCGUCGGAACGCUAGCAUGAAAGUUCCGGUGAUUACGGAGCAAGGACCAUCCGGCCUUAAAAACGGGUCUCGGCGAAGCACCCUCGCAGGAAGCUCCUCAAUUUCCUUCCUCGAAAACUCGAAUCAGAAUUCGCCCAGGCGAUUUAACUGGCGAAUUACAAUUCCUGAUAUCGUGGGAAACGAUUAAGCUGUUACGUUGACGAAGAUUGAUCGUGGAAAUUUCUAUCUGAUCUCUUCUGUGCUGCACGUCCGACCGACUAUAAUGGAAAAUCGUUGUUCUUGUUCGGGUAAUUGAAACGCUGCCGUUGAAGUCUGCGGCACAGAGUUGCGGAAAUAUUCUUCGGGAGUUUCGAGAAAGGAUCUGCAAAAUGGUCGCCGGAAAAAUGAUGGCAGGAUGAAAAUGCCGGCAAGAAAGUAGCCGCGUGCUGAAUCCCGAAGAGAAGUGGAUUAAUUCCGGCACCGAUUCGCAGCGGAGUACGUGAAUCAAGAGGAAAAACGUCUGCCGCGUAAUUCUACUUAAUGGCAAUCGGAACCGCGACGGUUCUAGCCUGUGGCGACGCAAUUAAAAUUCAUUUUAACGAUAAUGCAUUCACAUUCAGACCGGGCCGGGCUAAGUUUGCCCAUCUGCUUUCGUGUAACUGCCGCGGCACUCUCCGCCGCCGGAUAAAAGACCGAAAAUUUCUCGGGCUAUCUAAUGCAUAAAUUACUGUACUAUCUACCGGGAACAGGUUCCCGAAACCCCGGUAACCAAAUAUGAAGGACGCGUGCCACCAGACGCCAUCGCAAACCACGGCGCGCUGAAGCUUUGCCACAUUUUUUAAAUUUAAAUGCAACCCCGGCGUCGAUCCCUCAGGCCACGACACAAUGCAGCAGCCCGUUCGUAUGCAUAAAGCGUCAAAAGUAUUAUACACCAUUAUAAUUUCAAAUUUUUAUUUCAACUUCUAUUGAAAACCUACUAAAAUUUCACCCUCGAUUAAAAGUCUAUUAUAACGCAAAUUUAUAAUGCGAAUUCGUUACGGUGCAAUCAAAUUUCUAUUAAAAAUCUGUUAUAACAUUUCUGCUAAGAACCUAUUAUGAUUGAAAUUGAUAAUAAAAAUUCACCGAUUUAAGAUCAACCGA